UACGUAGGGGGCAAGCGUUGUCCGGAAUCAUUGGGCGUAAAGCGCGCGUAGGCGGUCUGUUGCGUCCGCUGUGAAAACUCGGGGCUUAACCCCGAGCCUGCAGUGGAUACGGGCAGACUAGAGGUAGGUAGGGGAGAAUGGAAUUCCCGGUGUAGCGGUGAAAUGCGCAGAUAUCGGGAGGAACACCGGUGGCGAAGGCGGUUCUCUGGGCCUUACCUGACGCUGAGGAGCGAAAGCGUGGGGAGCGAACAGG
rnacentral:rRNA from 1 species